rnacentral:tRNA from 1 species
GCCCCCUUGGCGAAAUUGGUAUACGCACGGCACUUAAAAUGCCGGGCCGCAAGGCAUGCCGGUUCAAGUCCGGCAGGGGGCACCA